AAAGCAAAUGGACAGCACAUCCAACACACCUGAAUACAAGGCUUAAUUUUGGCCUCCAUUGUAGGUCAUGUGUGUUCGGAACUAGGGUAUGGGCCCUAAAAAUAUUGGGACCAUUUUUGUUUUUCAAUUUUAGGUCCCAAAAUUACACACACCGUAUGGUAAGAUUUAGCUUUAGAUAAUAAAAUCAGUGUACAUAUCCUUGUGUUUUGGAACAUCUUGGGAAACCUAUACCUGUGUGUAGAUAGUA
rnacentral:lncRNA from 1 species